rnacentral:lncRNA from 1 species
UAUUUCUUAGCAGGAGAAGAAGAAUCAUCGUCAGUGUCAACCACAGCAAUCUUCUUGCCCUCAGGCUGCGGCAAGAAGCCGAAAAGCACCUGGGACUGCAAGCCAACAAUUGUUACUUGAAAGUGUUACCAUGCCUCGACUACACAAACCAAGCAAAGGAACAUACCUCUGUUGGUUCAUACCAACUAUCAAACUAACGAAGAACUCCUGGAAGUACUGGUACCCCUUGAUAGUUCUUGAAUAACUUCC